rnacentral:rRNA from 1 species
CCUACGGGGGGCAGCAGUGAGGAAUAUUGGUCAAUGGACGAGAGUCUGAACCAGCCAAGUAGCGUGAAGGAUGACUGCCCUAUGGGUUGUAAACUUCUUUUAUAAAGGAAUAAAACGAGGCACGUGUGCCUUUUUGCAUGUACUUUAUGAAUAAGGAUCGGCUAACUCCGUGCCAGCAGCCGCGGUAAUACGGAGGAUCCGAGCGUUAUCCGGAUUUAUUGGGUUUAAAGGGAGCGUAGAUGGGUUGUUAAGUCAGUUGUGAAAGUUUGCGGAUCAACCGUAAAAUUGCAAUUGAUACUGGCAGUCGUGAGUACAGUUGAGGUAGGCGGAAUUCGUGGUGUAGCGGUGAAAUGCUUAGAUAUCACGAAGAACCCCGAUUGCGAAGGCAGCUUACUAAACUGUGACUGACAUUGAUGCUCGAAAGUGUGGGUAUCAAACAGGAUUAGAUACCCCAGUAGUC